rnacentral:rRNA from 1 species
UACGUAGGGGGCAAGCGUUGUCCGGAAUCAUUGGGCGUAAAGAGCGUGUAGGCGGCUCGAUAAGUCCGUUCUGAAAGUCCAGGGCUCAACCCUGGGAUGCGGAUGGAUACUGUCGGGCUCGAGUCCGGAAGAGGCGAGUGGAAUUCCCGGUGUAGCGGUGAAAUGCGCAGAUAUCGGGAGGAACACCAAUGGCGAAGGCAGCUCGCUGGGACGUGACUGACGCUGAGACGCGAAAGCGUGGGGAGCGAACAGG